AUUGAACGCUGGCGGCAGGCCUAACACAUGCAAGUCGAGCGGAUGACGGGAGCUUGCUCCUUGAUUCAGCGGCGGACGGGUGAGUAAUGCCUAGGAAUCUGCCUGGUAGUGGGGGACAACGUUUCGAAAGGAACGCUAAUACCGCAUACGUCCUACGGGAGAAAGCAGGGGACCUUCGGGCCUUGCGCUAUCAGAUGAGCCUAGGUCGGAUUAGCUUGUUGGUGAGGUAAUGGCUCACCAAGGCGACGAUCCGUAACUGGUCUGAGAGGAUGAUCAGUCACACUGGAACUGAGACACGAUCCAGACUCCUACGGGAGGCAGCAGUGGGGAAUAUUGGACAAUGGGCGAAAGCCUGAUCCAGCCAUGCCGCGUGUGUGAAGAAGGUCUUCGGAUUGUAAAGCACUUUAAGUUGGGAGGAAGGGCAGUAAGUUAAUACCUUGCUGUUUUGACGUUACCGACAGAAUAAGCACCAGCUAACUCUGUGCCAGCAGCCGCGGUAAUACAGAGGGUGCAAGCGUUAAUCGGAAUUACUGGGCGUAAAGCGCGCGUAGGUGGUUUGUUAAGUUGGAUGUGAAAGCCCCGGGCUCAACCUGGGAACUGCAUCCAAAACUGGCAAGCUAGAGUACGGUAGAGGGUGGUGGAAUUUCCUGUGUAGCGGUGAAAUGCGUAGAUAUAGGAAGGAAACACCAGUGGCGAAAGGCGACCACCUGGACUGAUACUGACACUGAGGUGCGAAAGCGUGGGAAGCAAACAUGAUUAGAUACCCUGGUAGUCCACGCCGUAAACGAGUUCAACUAGCCGUUGGAAUCCUUGAGAUUUUAGUGGCGCAGCUAACGCAUUAAGUUGACCGCCUGGGGAGUACGGCCGCAAGGUUAAAACUCAAAGAAUUGACGGGGGCCCGCACAAGCGGUGGAGCAUGUGGUUUAAUUCGAAGCAACGCGAAGAACCUUACCAGGCCUUGACAUGCAGAGAACUUUCCAGAGAUGGAUUGGUGCCUUCGGGAACUCUGACACAGGUGCUGCAUGGCUGUCGUCAGCUCGUGUCGUGAGAAUGUUGGGUUAAGUCCCGUAACGAGCGCAACCCUUGUCCUUAGUUACCAGCACAUUAUGGUGGGCACUCUAAGGAGACUGCCGGUGACAAACCGGAGGAAAGGUGGGGAUGACGUCAAGUCUUCAUGGCCCUUACGGCCUGGGCUACACACGUGCUACAAUGGUCGGUACAGAGGGUUGCCAAGCCGCGAGGUGGAGCUAAUCUCACAAAACCGAUCGUAGUCCGGAUCGCGGUCUGCAACUCGACUGCGUGAAGUCGGAAUCGCUAGUAAUCGCGAAUCAGAAUGUCGCGGUGAAUACGUUCCCGGGCCU
rnacentral:rRNA from 1 species